rnacentral:rRNA from 1 species
UGGGGAAUAUUGGACAAUGGGCGCAAGCCUGAUCCAGCCAUGCCGCGUGAGUGAUGACGGCCUUAGGGUUGUAAAGCUCUUUCGCACGCGACGAUAAUGACGGUAGCGUGAGAAGAAGCCCCGGCUAACUUCGUGCCAGCAGCCGCGGUAAUACGAAGGGGGCUAGCGUUGUUCGGAAUCACUGGGCGUAAAGGGCGCGUAGGCGGCCGAUCAAGUCGGGGGUGAAAGCCUGUGGCUCAACCACAGAAUUGCCUUCGAUACUGUUCGGCUCGAGACCGGAAGAGGUCAGUGGAACUGCGAGUGUAGAGGUGAAAUUCGUAGAUAUUCGCAAGAACACCAGUGGCGAAGGCGGCUGACUGGUCCGGAUCUGACGCUGAGGCGCGAAAGCGUGGGGAGCAAACA